rnacentral:rRNA from 2 species
CGUUAGUUUUUUAAUUGGAAUCUUGUAUGAAUGGUUGGACAAAAGAAGAUCUGUCUUUGUAUUGCUUAUUGAAUUUUACUUUUAAGUGAAAAGGCUUAAAUGUAUUAAAGGGACGAUAAGACCCUAUAAAGCUUAAUAUUAAAUUUUAUAUAGUCAAAUUUUAAAUUAUAAAGAUUUUGUAAAUUGAAUUUAUUUUAUUGGGGCGAUAAGAGUAAAAUGAUUAUUAACUGCUUAACAUUAAGUACACUUAUAUGUGAUUAAAAUUUUAAAUGAUCCUAAUUAAAGAUUAAAAGUUUAAGUUACUUUAGGGAUAACAGCGUUAUUUUUCUUAAGAGUACUUAUCGAAAGAAA